CAGCCGCCGCGGUAAUACCUGCGGCACAAGUGGCAAUCACGAUUAUGGGCCUAAAGCGUCCGUAGUCGGACGAGUAAAUUUUCUGUGAAAUUGUCGGGCUUAACUCGACGAAUUGCAGAAAAGACUGCUCGUCUUGAGACCGGGAGGGGUUAGAGGUAUUGUUAGGGGACCGGUAAAAUGGGAUAAUCCUAACAAGACCACCGGUGGCGAAGGCGUCUAACCAGAACGGCUCUGACGAUGAGGGACGAAAGCCAGGGGAGCGAACCGGAUUAGAUACCCGGGUAGUCCUGGCCGUAAACGCUGCGAGCUAGGUGUUGCGCAUUCUUCGAGAAUGUGCAGUGUCGAAGCGAAGGUGUUAAGCUCGCCGCCUGGGAAGUACGGUCGCAAGGCUGAAACUUUAAGGAAUUGGCGGGGGAGCACCACAAGAGGUGCGGCGUGCGGUUUAAUCUAACUCAACACAGAGAAUCUCACUAGGGGCGACGGCAGGAUGAUGGUCGGUCUGAAGGGCUUACCUGACGAGCCGAGAGGUGGUGCAUGGCCGUCGUCAGCUCGUGCUGUAAGGUGUCCAGCUAAGUCUGGUAACGAGCGAGACCUGUGUCUACAAUUGCUAACGAUUCCUCCGGAAGAUCGAGCACAUUGUAGAGACUGCAUCCGUAAGGAUGAGGAAGGCGCAGGCUACGGUAGGUCUGUAUGCCCCGAAUCUCCUAGGCUACACGCGCGCAACAAUGGCGAAGACAAUGGGCUGCAACUCCGAAAGGAGAAGCCAAUCCUCGAAACUUCGUCUAGGUACAGAUUGAGCUUUGUAACUCAGGCUCAUGACGCCGGAAUCUCUAGUAAUCGGAAGUUAUCAGCUUCCGGUGAGAUAUGUCCCUGCCCCUUGCACAC
rnacentral:rRNA from 1 species